CAAUGGCGGACCUGGAGCUCACUCUGCUCUGCAGCUUGUGGCUUUUUGUGGGUUUCUGAAAAUAUGAAAGCAUGCACCAAUUUUGAUAGUAUUCCUUGAUGUCAGGAGACCGUUGACGACGUGCUCAAUCUACCAAGUGAUCACCCGAUCAGAGAUUCAGAAGUGCGCCAGACAGACGUCGGAGACGCCGUCAACCUUUUCUUCUUGUUUAUUUUUGUGUUUUCUUUUUCUUUUAUUGUCGUAACAAAUGGAGCUGGUGCAUUGCUUAAUCCGUUUCCAACUUUUUGGAAUCUUAGAUGCAUGUAAUGCAGCCACGAACAGCUUCCGGGUUAUAUACGAUGCACGGAGCGGGAAGGUUUGUGAAGAGAGGCAACAGACAACGCUUGAGGCACGAUGGAAGUUGUUUUUUGUGCUGGACACACACUCUGAACCUGGAAAUUAUUCGUUUAAAUUGGUUAUGACGAAGCCCCGAACUGCGGCUUCCAGGGACCUGUUCAUCAAUGGCAUUCAGUGUAGGCGUUGCUUCCACAACUGGCCGCCAUUCAGUCCAGCCACCAUGCAGGGCAAGUCCUUGUUCCCUCUGUUUCGGUCACGGUUUAGUGCUUUUCAAAAUUGUGCCACAAUUGUUCUAGAUCGGCCGCUUCUGACUGGAUCAUUGUCUGUGUCCGAUUGGCACUUGCCGCUGUAGUUUUUUUCGCCUUCUGAAGCACUGCUUUCAAGUUGUUUUCUUUUCGGUAGUUUUGCAUUGUCACUACCAUCUUUUCCUCGGUUAUGUGACGUUAGUGGAGCUGAGGUAGAGGCUGGGAUCGUCCAGGGAGUUUGGUUUCAGUUUGGUAUGUACAGUUCGCUACACAUCAAUUGAAUCAGUUUUGUUGUCUGUUUGAUGGGCUGCACGUUUCAGAGAAUGGAUAUGGUUUUGUUGCUUCUCAACUGCAGUGCUGUGGGCAUUAGAGUUGUUUGUUGGGUUGCUCACAUGCGUUUAGAUACUUAACUCGAUAGUUUCGUUAUGCGAUAUCCCAGUCAAGCUUCCUGCUCAAAGUAGGACUCUCUUUCUUGCUGAUAUAAUAGAGUCCGAACCUGGUUCAGUUGGAGCAUACAGUAAAUGUCUACUGUGUGCACAUUUAUUCCUUGACCUUGAUUCUCUGCAAUUGGAAGUGAAAUACGUCCUAGAAAAGACCUAGAAAAGGCAUGCUUGAAUACCGUGUAGUUUGUUCUUUAGCUUAUUUGAUCCAUUACAGUCCUUGCAGAGUACAUUUCGCUCAUAUAAUAAAGCUAACGACGAGGAAAACUUCAACUGGUGUCUGGUUAUGCAGGGGUUUGGUUUUCUUCAAAAUGGCGUAAGCACUGACCCUUGGAGUCACCCUCCUUUUUUACAUUGUCGCAUUUGGCCUUGCUCUUGCAGCCAUUGCGCACCGGAGCAAGGCAACCCCAGCAAUUGAUCCUAAAACUCGGUUUCUGAAAUGUCAAUACUCCUCCGACGUAGCAACCGGUUAUGCUGUCGGGUCUUUCAUGUUCCUGCGCUUUUCGCAAGUUUUCAUCAUGUUAGCCUCACGCUGCCUUUGCUGUGGGAGUGGUGUCAAACCUGGAGGUGCCAAGACAUUCGGUGUGCUGAUGUUUCUUUUGUCAUGGAUGUGCUUCGUUGUUGCCACGUCUGCUCUGAUCGCUGGUGCAGCUCAAAAUAAAAUCCAAACAGAAAAGUAUUACAAUUAUUUUGGAGACAGAGUCACAUGCCGAGAAGUGCGAAAGAGUUUAUUCGAGGCUGCAGCAGCUUUUACCUUCCUCACUAUGAUAUUCAGUGAGCUGUAUUUCUUACUGCUUUCGAAAGCUCGGGAGCCUGAGCCAUGGAUGUCGAAUGGCCCCUCAGUGGGCAUGUCUCGUUACCCUUCAGUUUCGUUCGCUUGUCUAGACUUUUCUAGUUCGGAUCAUGCUCAGCUCGUUUUUUUAAGAGCCACAUUCAUCCUUUUAGAUGUACAUGGUGAAUCAUAAAACCUUUCAGAAUCGAAAUUUAGUCAGCCUUAAUGUUGUAAUUUUUCACGCUCCGUUCUCCAGAGCGUCCACAUUCUCAUGAGACAGCUUCAUGCACAAUUCGGCCUUUACGUCCAUUAUUCUGGACUCUGAGCUCCCUGUUGUGUCUGUGUUUUUUCAUCUCGUUUUAAUUCUAAUGCAUUCUGAUUUGUCCGAUAGUAACAUUGGUUCCUUCCCAUCAAUCUCCGAAGUCUUGUAUGAUUAUUACAUAUCAAUUACAAUCUGAAGUUUAUGCUUCGUCCAAGUUGAGACUCAGCUCAGAGUUUGUUUGCCUUUCUGUGAAUGAGUAAUGUAAAGAAAUUUCAACUUUUUUGUGCCUUAGUAGUGUUCCUAUUGCGAGUGACCUUCAACAAGCUUGUUGAUUUCCUUCCGCUGGAAUAGCAGUUUCAUUUUGUUUCUAUCCAAUCAAAAAGUUUCAGUACUUAUGUAAUUCAAUAGGAGGAGUUGACAAGAAUGGUCGCGACGCUUGCCUGCCAAGUGCCUCUCUUAAGAAGGUUGCAACCCGAGAUCGAGAGCUCGAGAGGAUUUUGCCAUCUGCGGGGCAUCUCAAGUUUUUUAUUGUAUACUCUGCCUAUGUUUAGGCAUCUCUCUGGUAUUUCAUUUUGACUGUUUCGUGCUUCUUCUAACGUCUUGGUGAACAGGUGAGCGUAUUCCUUCCAUCUUCAGCUUAUUCAGGUAAAUUGUAAAUCCCAGUAGCUCGGUGAUACAGCCUCGUUAAUCAUGUCGUAUGGGUCGCACUUGAAUCGUAAGGACAAGUUCAAUCCGGUAACGGAGUCGAUGUACCGUCAGAAGCCCGCGGGGCUUGUUGUCAGAAGCAUGGAGAGGACGAAGGAGUACGACCCAGAAGAACCAGACGGCCCAGCGACGCAUGUCGAAAACGCACCACGGGUAGAACGUGGAGGCUCUGACUCGAACUGGAUAAUGAGCAAAGAACGCAUGGAAUACCGUCACAGCAAAAUUAUUGAAAUUCUUGACGGAAUGGUUCACAGACUGCCUAAGGAGAAUUUUGAUGUAUAUCUUGAGCGAUGCUAUUCUACUGCUAACUUGGCCCUGAACAAAGCUAACAAAGCCAUCACUGGCGACGAAUGCGAAGACGUCGGGGAUAGGUGGGUGACCCGUUUUGUCAUAGGUUUCAGGUUACUGUCUAGAUUAACUGGCGUGGGAUGGAAGUCAGAGGAAGAGGCGUUGCUCUUCAAACUAGUGCGAGAGGAAUGCGACAUGCUCACCAAGCAAGAUGUCCAAUUCAUAGAAUCAAGAUCGAGUGUUAGGACGGAAAAAAGGCCGUGGGAGAGAGUAUUUGACGACAGUCACCCUACAGAUUACAGAGAAGGUGUCGGCGACCCUUCAAAGUUCCACCAUUGAAGCAGCCACUCCUAGGAGUCUACUCAAAACCUUGUACGUAGACAAAGUCUAUUUAUAAAAUAAAUUUAACACCUAUUUUUA